rnacentral:rRNA from 1 species
GACGAACGCUGGCGGCGUGCUUAACACAUGCAAGUCGAACGGAAAGGCCUUUUCGGAGGUACUCGAGUGGCGAACGGGUGAGUAACACGUGGGUGAUCUGCCCUGCACUCUGGGAUAAGCCUGGGAAACUGGGUCUAAUACCGGAUAGGACCGCACUUUAGUGUGUGUGGUGGAAAGUUUUUUCGGUGUAGGAUGAGCCCGCGGCCUAUCAGCUUGUUGGGGGGGUAAUGGCCUACCAAGGCGGCGACGGGUAGCCGGACUGAGAGGUUGGUCGGCCACAUUGGGACUGAGAUACGGCCCAGACUCCUACGGGAGGCAGCAGUGGGGAAUAUUGCACAAUGGGCGCAAGCCUGAUGCAGCGACGCCGCGUGGGGGAUGACGGCCUUCGGGUUGUAAACUCCUUUCGCCAGGGACGAAGCGUUUUGUGACGGUACCUGGAGAAGAAGCACCGGCUAACUACGUG